UCUCAUAGAUGGCGCUGUUCGUUUGGUAGUAAGAAAUUUAAAUUUGUUCUACGAAAUUCACUUUUUUUGUGAAUAUUUCAAAAACUACAUAUCUCAGGGCGACAAAAUUUGACCUGCUGAUUUACAAAAAAAUUAGCUUUCACCAGGUCAAAUUUUAUCCCUAACCGAUGUUUAAUUUGGGAAAUAUUUAAUUCAAAUUGAUUUCCCCCAUACAUUUUUCAAACUGCUUCCCUGUUUGAAAAAUGUCGCACGUCGUACGAGUUGUCGCACGGUUUUGAUUUUACCGUUUCGAUAUCGAUUGGUCGAAAGGACGACAAACGUACGACAAACACUCGACAUGCCCGACGUUGUUUUUUCCAUCGAUUUACCUUCAAUUCGACGUCGAUUAUCGUCGACGCAAACAGUUUGACAGUUCUCUUCAGUUGAACUUGUUCGGACUUGAUUGCAACCGAGUCGAACAAAUUGUUGUUGGUUUUAGGCUUUGGGAGGAUUUUGGCCAGUUUAAAGGUAAGUUGUGUUCUAGAUUGAAUUACUUUUUCUGCCGGAAAGUUCCGGCCGGAGUGGGCGACAACCGAAUCAAAUUGUCUUGUAUUCCAGGUCUUCGUGGCGGUAUAGGAGGAAGAGGAGGACGGGAAAUAUGGAUUACUCGGCGAGCCAUUCCGGAAGACGGGACGGGAAGGAACCAGUUUGCGAUCGAGGAAGCCGUUAGUGUUUGGUGUUUUACUUUCCGCGGGAGGUUGCCUCCAUAUCUAAUGGAACUGGCAACAAACAUAUUCUGAUCUGAUCCUGCCGGAAACCAUGCGUCCCCGUGUGGUCCCGCGUGGCUUCCGUAGAACCCAAGGAAGCAGCCUCUCGUACUCCGGUAAACAUCAAUCCGUCGGAGGUUCAAGAUCGUCGCCAAGGUGUCGCAUCCGGGUUUUGAUCAGCGCGUCGAGGAGCAAAAGUCCAACACGGCCAAGAUGCUGCCACGGCCGCCUCCAACAUCCAAGCCGGAAGCUGCGGUCAAGGCAAAU